GCGAGUGAAGAGGGAAGAGCCCAAGAUUGAAAGCUGGCGUCUUCGGCGUCCGCAUUGUAAUCUCAAGAAGUGUUUUCCGCUUCGGACCAUGCCUAAGUCCCUUGGAAAAGGGCAUCAUAGAGGGUGAUAAUCCCGUACAUGGCAUGGAGCGCCCGAAGCUUUGUGAUACGCUUUCUAAGAGUCGAGUUGUUUGGGAAUGCAGCUCAAAAUGGGUGGUAAAUGCCAUCUAAGGCUAAAUAUUGGGGAGAGACCGAUAGCGAACAAGUACAGUGAUGGAAAGAUGAAAAGAACUUUGAAAAGAGAGUUAAACAGUACGUGAAAUUGCCAAAAGGGAAGGGUAGGAGGUCAGAGAUGCGGCCUGGGAUUCAGCCUUGCUUUUGCUUGGUGUUUUUCCCAGAUUGCAGGCCAACGUCGGUUUUGGGCACUGGAGAAGGGUAGGAGGAACGUGGCACCUCUCGGGGUGUGUUAUAGCCUCCUACUGGAUACAGCGACCGAGACCGAGGACAGCAGCGUACUCGCAAGAGCGGGCCUUCGGGCACCUUUACGCUUAGGGCGUUGGCAUAAUGGCCCUCUACCACCCGUCUUG
rnacentral:rRNA from 1 species